rnacentral:rRNA from 1 species
AGUGGCGAACGGGUGAGUAACACGUGAGCAACCUGCCCCUGACUCUGGGAUAAGCGCUGGAAACGGCGUCUAAUACCGGAUAUGAGCUGCGAUCGCAUGGUCAGCAGUUGGAAAGAUUUUUCGGUCUGGGAUGGGCUCACGGCCUAUCAGCUUGUUGGUGAGGUAAUGGCUCACCAAGGCGUCGACGGGUAGCCGGCCUGAGAGGGUGACCGGCCACACUGGGACUGAGACACGGCCCAGACUCCUACGGGAGGCAGCAGUGGGGAAUAUUGCACAAUGGGCGAAAGCCUGAUGCAGCAACGCCGCGUGAGGGAUGACGGCCUUCGGGUUGUAAACCUCUUUUAGCAGGGAAGAAGCGAAAGUGACGGUACCUGCAGAAAAAGCGCCGGCUAACUACGUGCCAGCAGCCGCGGUAAUACGUAGGGCGCAAGCGUUAUCCGGAAUUAUUGGGCGUAAAGAGCUCGUAGGCGGUUUGUCGCGUCUGCUGUGAAAUCCCGAGGCUCAACCUCGGGUCUGCAGUGGGUACGGGCAGACUAGAGUGCGGUAGGGGAGAUUGGAAUUCCUGGUGUAGCGGUGGAAUGCGCAGAUAUCAGGAGGAACACCGAUGGCGAAGGCAGAUCUCUGGGCCGUUACUGACGCUGAGGAGCGAAAGGGUGGGGAGCAAACAGGCUUAGAUACCCCUGGUAGUCCACCCCGUAAACGUUGGGAACUAGUUGUGGGGUCCAUUCCACGGAUUCCGUGACGCAGCUAACGCAUUAAGUUCCCCGCCUGGGGAGUACGGCCGCAAGGCUAAAACUCAAAGGAAUUGACGGGGACCCGCACAAGCGGCGGAGCAUGCGGAUUAAUUUCGAUGCAACGCGAAGAACCCUUACCAAGGCUUGACAUACACGAGAACGGG